rnacentral:lncRNA from 1 species
AAAAGCUUCAAAUAUGAACACGAAAUUUAACAUAUAGAGUGAACGAAACUACGACCCGAUCGCCUGAAUGGAAUCAGAACAUCAAGAUGCAUAUUUUUUAUGUACAACUUAUGACGAAUCGUAGCAUGGUUGUGUAGAAGGGAUGAAAGAGAUUAAAAAGGUGCUUAGAAGAAAAUACUUGCUAACCAGGUACAUACAUGUCUCGCCAGAGCCACCCACGUGGGCUUGAGGGCUUGGCUCCUUGGAAACGAACGACUUGAGCGUUUCCAGCUAUAUAGGCCCAAAGGUGCUUUUAAAACCGUGCUAUGCAGGCAUAAUGAUGUUUUCAUGUAACCAAAAAGCCUAACACCAAACAGAUGCUACAUACAACGGGUAUGGUUGAGUUUUUGUGGGCAACCAAACACACCCUUUAGUACGCACAACCGCACCUGCCUUUGCAUCUCGCGUGUCACGCAUGAUUUCGGCCGUCGCCACCUCCAUCUUCUUCCUCCCGGUCUCGGCCCUGUCACAGUUCCCUUACCUAUCCCACUGCACCAGACGGCCGCGGGGGCAGGGCCGGUCCUGAGACUUCUGGGGCCCGGGGCGAGACUAGAAUCAGGGGCCCCUCAAUAUAAACAUUAAAAUAAUACUUAAUAUAUGUAUAUGUGAAAUAUUAUCAAUAAACAAUAUAGGAAAGUGCAUCCCAAAUCAAAUAAUUCCUAUUUUACCUUCAAAUUUUCCUCUAGCAUUCCUGGAUGCAAUUAUGUUUAGUAUGGUAUCAAUAUAAAUCUCAUUCAAUAUUUUUAAAGUACCAAACUAUUUAAGCUCCCAUGGAGUAUAUAUCUAUUUAAAAGAUGUUCAUGCUUCUUCCUGACAAUAACUAUCACAUAAGGCAGCAUACCUCAGCCAUCAUUCGCACAUCUAGUGCUUCCUUAUACAUGUCAUUUUUGAUAAAAGAAAUUGUUCUUGAAGCAUUAGAACCAUCUUCUAAGCUCUAGAGAUGACAAGGAAAAUGAGCUGAAUAUCAUAAACUAUAUGAGAAAACCGUCGAACAAAACAUUCAGUAUAUUACUAGAUGUCGUCUCCAGAUCUAAAAGGCAUUAUUUUCUAUCAAAUUUGAUCCUGGAGAUAUAUGUUGAAACUUUCUAAGAGGAAGGAACCGUCUGAAUGCUUUUGAGAAAAGUGAUUUUGCAGAAUCACUACGAAACCAUAAAAUUAAUCAGCAAGUUAAUUGAACAGACAAGUCUUGUACAGAAUUAGAUGUAACUUAGUGUUAAUCCUGCUUCAGUAGACAUCAACCCCUACUUAUAAUUUCUCUAAAUCGAACAGUAACAUCACGAUCCUAAUUUUUGAAUGCCAAACUUAAAUCCUGCUGAUGAUGACUAUUCCUUUCCAUCGAGAGCAAGGGGAGAAAUACCAAAAUCCAUACAAUCCCACAAGAUUCAAUCAAAAAAGAGGGAAGCGAUCCUUACCAGGGCCUGAAGACGAG